UCACAAGAUUUUCCCGGAUGUCCAGUUUUCUACUAUUAAGUUAGCCAAGUAUCAUAAGGUUUUUUCAAUCCACUAGCGCCAAACUGCCUUGUAUUACCAUUCGUGUAUUUUACAACUGAAAGUAGUAAAACGAACUCUGUAAACAUAAUGUACCGUAUGUAUACCGUAAUAUGUAUUGCGAUUUACUAGUUUUAUCGUCUCUUUGCGGCUAUGACAGUGGAUGGACGGAGUCGUAAAACGGACCUUUAACUGUACCUUUGUCCAUCUUUUUCGUCAUGAAUUUUCUGCCGGCGCCGUUCUGUCGUCUGUAGUCCCACACAGAGUUAGCUAAAUGACGUUCUUUGUUGCUGCAAAAGACACUGACUGACGGACUGGGUCACGUAAACGCGCGGGUCUCCGCUCGUGCUACCGCUGUGUCUAUGAGCGAUGGUUGCUGUCGCCUUUCGUUCGCUCGCAGUGUUCAUUGAACCGAAGUGCACAAAGUUUCCUCAGUCCACAGCGAUCCGGCCCGAUCGAUUGCCUUCAGUCGGGCUCGCCCGUUGACUUUUUUCUCUUCUGAAGUUGUUUGUUCCUGGUGUUCGUUCAUCAGUCUGCUGCCUCCUGCAAAUGCCUUCUCGUCUUCUUGUACGACGCCCACUCAUAUGAAUCGCUGUGGCUUCUGUACAUUAGAUUGGCUACUCCCACUGCUAGUUAUUGUGUGUACAUGCAAGCUGUGUACACAUUGCGUACGCAUAAUGUCAAUGCGCGGACGAGGCUACAACUGCAACAAUAUCUACUGUUAUUCAAGCCUAUUCGCUGGCCAUGAAACGAAAAAAAAAAAAUGAGGACACCAUUUUGAAGAACGAGAGCUAACAUCAGCUUCUUCACUAGGGCUACUCGUUAGUCAGUCGCACUCAGAUGUUAAAGAAUGGUAGAGCAGUUGUCUGACAUUCUAAUAAGAACGACAAAACCUCCACGCAUGCGAACAAAUUCUACGAAACGCAAAAGAUAAAGCUUUAUCUUUUUGCGCUCACCACAAGAUUGAUUGCAUUGAAAUUUUGCUAGGAAGCCUGCCUUCGCCUCCUCUUUUCAAAUAAACAAGAAGAAGUGAUGAAUUUCGCAUCGAUGGUCCCGCUAAAAAUUAAAGUUUCUAUUAUGGUUCAACAAUUAUGCACCUACGAACCUUGUGAAGUGUACAGAUAACAAAUUAUUUUACUUUUAUUUUAUCGCGUACGUUGUGUAGUUCACAGAGUUUCGACCAGCAAUUCUUGUCCUUGUUAACCGAGGGUUUAUUUGUCCAAGCCACUGCACCGAUGAAACUAUGUUCAGAUACUCGGAGUACACAAGGUACUCGUGUUGGGGAACUAAUCCCCUGAUGUAAUCUCUAACGAUGGUUUUAAAGUAUUUAGGCUGGUUCUGAAACGGAAACCCCACAGUAGCACUGUACAAUAGUGCGCUUUUUCAAAGCGCAUUAAUGAAAAUAAUUAUGUCAGAGUAACCCGGUGGGCGUAGGUUUACACCGAAGUAUCCUGUUUGGCCUUUUCAGCUCGCAUCUUAUUGAACGCUAAAGUUGCCUACUUUUCUUAUGUAUCUAUUCCUGAUGUUCUGAAAAUGGUCAAAUUGGCCGACGGCAACUUGAUACCUAUAGCAAUGUUAAGCAGGCUUAUCUAAAAUUUAUGAAAUUAGCCCUUACCUAGUUAAUGUCUUUCAACUUGUCUAGCUAAUGAUCCCAGACGACUGUAUUGCUUUGCAAAAACCACAAGCGACCUAUACGCUCUUUGUUCCUCUUGUAGCAUUCCACCAUUCCAAAGCGACUCUCAUAUAUCUUAACUUCAAUGAAGAGCAUGUGAGAAAAGAUCGAAGGCUUUAUUGAAUACAAAAAGUAUCGUACAUUGUUCGUCGAUGCUCUUUCUAGUAAAAUACGAUAGACUGCUGUUUAUGUACUGUAUGUAUUGUAUGUUAUACAAUCCGUAGCUGACUUCACACUGUGGAUUUAUUGACGAACAGAUUCGUAAGGCUGUCGGAGCCUUACCUUCAUUUUGGUAAUUACGCUGAAAAACGCACCUGCCAGAGAGAAUUACCCGAGCAAGUUAGAAUUAGUUCGUAGUAUUUGACCGGUGUUGUCAGGAUAUACGAGCUACCGGCGAUGGGUGCUUACGACGCAACUUCUGCAGACCAAAUAGACGAUAGAUACAUCAACAAAGGUCCGGCAAUAACCAAGCUUAUGAACAAAAACGCUGUUGAAGUGGAACCAGCAGCUGAAUCUGCCAUGACGUCAUGGAUAAUUCUCCUGUUCUCAACUGAUAUGUUAGUGGCGCUAUGCUCGUGCAUAGUUGUGUUCACGCUUGUAUUGGCUGUCUUCCUACGAAACAGAGAACGAGUGCGCCGUUACGUGACCGGUGAGAACCGGCGAGUAGGCAGUGUCUAUUACGUGCGACCGGGAAUUGCUCCAACUCAACCGACGGAGAUUUGAUAGGAAAACCGAAAACGAACAGCAAGCACGUUAACAGCCUCAAUCAGCGAUGACUCGGUCAGCAAUGAGAACUCCAAUAGCACCAACCAUAAUCGUAGGUGAAAUCGUUAAGAAGAAAUAUAAUCAUAUCGUAUAAAUGGGACGCCAAGACUGCGAGCGAUGUAUCGAACGAACGUGAGCAGUCAUCGGAAGCCUUCGUCCAGUAACAAACUGAAUACGGCGUAUGUAUCAGCGUGGAGCGCGUACAACGAUUUUCAACGGCAAAAAACCCUCAAUCACUAAUGGGCUCAUAUUAAAUUACUCAUCUGAAUGUGACUCUUUAAACUGUCGGCGGUCCUUUUAGAUGUAUGGCUUUAUCCAAAACUAGCUCAAUAAUUACCUAACUAAAAUUUUACGAAAGCGAGCAUUCAGAACAUAUCAACAAACAAGCUCGGGUAUAAUUUAGGUUGGCCAUUUUAGUCUUGGGGCAAACUAUUGGCUUAUGCAGAUUGUUUUGAAUUAUUAAAUGAUUUAGACGCCUGUUGAUAUAUUGCCUUUAAAGAUAUCGGGUUUUAAGAAGACGAAUGACUUUUCCGUGAAAUCGAAUUCAGUUGGUUAAAAGCGUAUCGAUCAUUUUUGGAAGCUUUUUCACAGGUCAAACUCAUCUGUAUACAUACAAUUAGAUUUAGCCUUAUGAUUGGGUGUACGUUUCGAAGUUCUUAUAGUGUUGUUCGGUAGGUGUUUCUUGAAGAAGAAGCAGCUACACGAAAAAUCACGGUGAAAACAUUCCAGUGAACGAAAAUCUACGAUUUUCCUUACCUUAUUACUGUACUGAUGUACCAUAUUGCUGGAAGCGGUAUUUUUGUAAAUCUCGAGUAAUUAAUUAGCGCAACAAUUUUUUUCCGUAGAAGGCGGGAUGGAGUCUCUUUUUUUCAUGCAUAGGAACGACACCCCUUUAUCGUGCUUCGGCAACGUAGCUUUUGAGCGUAUGAAAGAAUAAAUUAUUGCACACGUUUAUUAACCUAUAUUUUGAACAUAAGCGAUUAUCACAUUGUAGGCGCAAGGCGCAUUUCUAUUCACGAUUUAUUUUUACUUCAGCAGAAUUUUUUCCCGAACAGGACCAGAGAUGAGUAAUGUAAUAUCUAUUUAGUAGAGAUUUAGAUUUGUGAGCAAUCACAAUUUUGCUGUACUGCUCGGAUCGAAUCUUAUUUAAGCUGCUACUACCCAUUGCUGAGUGCGUGUGAUUAGAUCCAACAAACGUAGCCGUUGAAAUGAUCGAAAGUUCUAAUCUAUAGAACAAUACAUUUUCUAUUUAGCCACAUGUAAAUAGAAUAGCUGGUUCUCGAAAUAACGAAAGAUGUAUCUCGAAAUGUUGCCUUAAUGUGGCUUUACUAGACCCGUAGUAGCUUUAAUAGACUUUAAUUUCAGUUUUUAUAAAUCACUAUUACGUAACUGGAACAUACGUGUCAUAUUGUUUAAUACCAUUACCUACACCAUCUUGAGGAAUCAGCUUCAGUUAAUUCAGGUAAUAUAGUAACGUUAUUCCACACAACAAGGAUUCUAAAAAUGUUUCUAUAGAAGCUCAAUUGCGUUUCGUUGUACAUGUAUGCUUGUUUGUACUUCAUACUCUUAAACUGUCUUAACUAGUAGGGGCACUACUAAUGGAAAAAUGUAGUACUUUAAAAGAAAGUAUCCAAAUCCCGUAAUGAUAUUAUGGCCAAAAAUGUUCUUAUUGUCCCACCGAGAAGGAGAAUAAUAUUUAAAUCGUUCACUACUUUUUUUUUCUCGAGAACUACCUCAUAUUUAAAAAUGUCGAUAUCUGAUGAAAAUAAUAUGGUAACGUGAAGAGUAAACUACCUGAAAAACAUGUUUACCCGAGGUGAUUAAUUGCGAAAGAACUAUUCGGUCUAGACAACUAUCGCAGCUAAAGGAAGUACGCAAACCUAACCGUUAGGUUAGGUUUGCGCACUUCCUGUAGAUGCAACUGUACUCAAUGACAAAUAUGUACUAUUAGUAAACGUAGACAUUAUAUAUAUAUGCCUUGUGUUAUCGGUAACCACCAGAGUCUUAUGUGCGCACAUGGUUGUUCUUAUGCGUCAAGAUCAGUACCGCGCGUAGUGAUGCUAGGCAUUGGCUAGCUAGAACGUCAAUUUCACGCUAAGCGGUAUCGGUCAGUUCAGUCAGUACUUCUGAUGCUCCAUAUUACUGUGGCCCGAGGAAGACGUCAUCCAUCGCUUUUGUUCGCCGGUUUCAUUUGAUAAUAUAAUCACUACAUUAAACUUUUCCGUAAAAUAAAGUCACGUUGUAGAGGUAGUA